rnacentral:rRNA from 1 species
ACGAAGAGUUUGAUCCUGGCUCAGGGUUAACGCUGGCGGUAUGUCUAAUACAUGCAAGUCGAACGCUUGACUUCGGUCAAGAGUGGCGAACGGGUGAGUAACACGUUGGAACCUACCUCAAACUCAGGGAUAAUUCACCGAAAGGUGGACUAAUACCGGAUAGUCUCGUAAGAGUAAAGCUUUUGCGGUUUGAGAGGGUCCUGCGGCCUAUCAGCUUGUUGGUGUGGUAAUGGCACACCAAGGCUAUGACGGGUAGCUGGUCUGAGAGGAUGAUCAGCCACAAUGGGACUGAGAUACGGCCCAUACUCCUACGGGAGGCAGCAGUAAAGAAUCUUCCACAAUGGACGAAAGUCUGAUGGAGCAAUACCGCGUGGGUGAUGACGGUCGAAAGAUUGUAAAGCCCUUUUCUGAGGGAAGAAUUCUGACGGUACCUCAGGAAUAAGCACCGGCUAACUCCGUGCCAGCAGCCGCGGUAAUACGGAGGGUGCAAGCGUUACCCGGAAUCAUUGGGCGUAAAGCGUCCGCAGGCGGCUACUUAAGUCAAAUAUUAAAUCUCGAGGCCCAACUUCGAGGCUGUGUUUGAAACUGGGUGGCUAGAGUAUCACAGAGGCAUGUGGAAUUCUGUGUGUAGGGGUAAAAUCCGUAGAUACACAGAGGAACACCAAAAGCGAAGGCAGCAUGCUGGGUGAUUACUGACGCUCAUGGACGAGAGCGUGGGGAGCAAACGGGAUUAGAUACCCCGGUAGUCCACGCCGUAAACGAUGGAUACUAGUUGUUGGAGGACUCGACCCCUUCAGUGACGACGCUAACGCAUUAAGUAUCCCGCCUGGGGAGUACGGUCGCAAGAUUAAAACUCAAAGGAAUAGACGGGGACCCACACAAGCGGUGGAGCACCUGGCUUAAUUCGAUACUGAGCGAGGAACCUUACCUGGACUUGACAUCCCGAGAAUUCCCUAGAAAUAGGGAAGUGCCUUCUGGAACUCGGUGACAGGUGCUGCAUGGUUGUCGUCAGCUCGUGCCUUGAGGUGUUCGGUUAAGUCCGUAAACGAGCGCAACCCAUGUCGUGUGUUGUAUUUUUCACACGAGACUGCCGAUUCAAAAUCGGAGGAAGGUAUGGAUGACGUCAAAUCAGCAUGGCCCUUAUGUCCAGGGCUGCACAGGUGCUACAAUGGGUGGUACAACGGGUAGCAAAGCCGCAAGGUGGAGCCAAUCCUUAAAGCCAUCCUAAGUUCGGAUUGGGGGCUGCAACUCGCCCCUAUGAAGCUGGAAUCGCUAGUAACCGCGUAUCAGCAAUGACGCGGUGAAUAUGUUCCUGGGUCUUGUACUCACCGCCCGUCAAGUCAUGAAAGGUGGGGGCGCCCGAAGUACCCUUAGCUUUAAGCGGGGUCCUAAGGCGAAACCACUGAUUGGGACUAAGUCGUAACAAGGUAUCCGUAGGAGAACCUGCGGAUGGAUCACCUCCUU